UACGGAGGGAGCUAGCGUUGUUCGGAAUUACUGGGCGUAAAGCGCACGUAGGCGGCUUUGUAAGUUAGAGGUGAAAGCCCGGGGCUCAACUCCGGAACUGCCUUUAAGACUGCAUCGCUUGAAUCCGGGAGAGGGAUGUGGAAUUCCAGGUGUAGCGGUGAAAUGCGUAGAUAUCUGGAGGAACACCGGUGGCGAAGGCGACAUCCUGGACCGGUAUUGACGCUGAGGCGCGAAAGCCAGGGGAGCAAACGGG
rnacentral:rRNA from 1 species